rnacentral:rRNA from 1 species
GAUGAACGCUGGCGGCGUGCCUAAUACAUGCAAGUCGAGCGAACAGACGAGGAGCUUGCUCCUUUGAUGUUAGCGGCGGACGGGUGAGUAACACGUAGGUAACCUACCUAUAAGACUGGGAUAACUUCGGGAAACCGGAGCUAAUACCGGAUAAUAUUUCGAACCGCAUGGUUCGAUAGUGAAAGAUGGCUUUGCUAUCACUUAUAGAUGGACCUGCGCCGUAUUAGCUAGUUGGUAAGGUAACGGCUUACCAAGGCAACGAUACGUAGCCGACCUGAGAGGGUGAUCGGCCACACUGGAACAGAGACACGGUCCAGACUCCUACGGGAGGCAGCAGUAGGGAAUCUUCCGCAAUGGGCGAAAGCCUGACGGAGCAACGCCGCGUGAGUGAUGAAGGUCUUCGGAUCGUAAAACUCUGUUAUUAGGGAAGAACAAACGUGUAAGUAACUGUGCACGUCUUGACGGUACCUAAUCAGAAAGCCACGGCUAACUACGUG